rnacentral:rRNA from 1 species
UAGAGUUUGAUCCUGGCUCAGAACGAACGCUGGCGGCGUGCCUAACACAUGCAAGUCCAACGUGAAAGGGGAGCAAUCCCCCGGUAGGGUGGCAAACGGGUGAGUAAUACAUGGGUGAUCUACCUUAGGGAUGGGGAUAUCCUUCCGAAAGGAGGGGCAAUACCGAAUAUUGUCCGGAGCCGUGAAGGGUUCCGGGGAAAGGGAGGCCUCUGAUACAAGCUUUCGCCUUAAGAUGAGCCCAUGGCCCAUCAGCUAGUUGGUAGGGUAAAGGCCUACCAAGGCUACGACGGGUCGCUGGUCUGAGAGGACGACCAGCCACACUGGCACUGAGAUACGGGCCAGACUCCUACGGGAGGCAGCAGUGAGGAAUAUUGCGCAAUGGGGGAAACCCUGACGCACGCAAGCGCCGCGUGUGGGAAGAAGGCCUUCGGGUCGUAAACCACUUUUGCACGGGACGAAAAAGGGAUAUCGAACAAAUAUCCCCGAUGACGGUACCGUGAGAAUAAGCCACGGCUAACUCUGGUGCCAGCAGCCGCGGUAAGACAGAGGUUGGCAAGCGUUUGUUCGGAAUUACUGGGCGUAAAGAGUCUGUAGGGUGGUUUUGUCAAGUCUUUUGGAUGAAAGGCCGUUAGCCUUAACCUAUGGGAAUGCCAAAGAGCACUGGUCAGGGCUUGGAGGCUGGGAGAAGGGAAGCCGGGUAAUUUCUUGGUUGUUAGCCGGUGAAAUGCCGUUAGUAUAUCAAGAAGGAAGGCCGGUGGCGAAAGCGGCUUUCCUGGGAACAGUUCCUGACACUGAGAGACGAAAGCGUGGGGAGCAAACAGGGAUUAGAUACCCUGGUAG